GCUCUGUCCCCAUGCCAGCGGGGGCAGCAGAAGCGGUGGCAGCAGAAACUCUGACUGCCCAUGGGUCCUGUCCCCAUGCUAUUCUACUCUCUAAAUAAAAGAGCACUACUGCCAGAUCUUGAGAGUCUAAGAAAUCUUUCUUUCGACUCCUCGGCUCACCGACCCCGCAUCAGUAGUGCUCCUUUAUUCAGAGAAUAGCAUGGGGACAGGACCCAUGGGCGGUGAAGGGAUGCAAUGUGUUGAGGGUAGGGCUGAAUUGAUAAGGCAUAGGUAUGUGAGUUAUUUCUUUACAAACAAAGGAAAGAUUAUGUUAAAAAAAAGUCAUUAAAAUGAUGUCAGUGCAGGUGGGUUCUGGUUAUCGGGUGGUCCUAUAACUUUGGAUAAGAAUCAGGUCGAAUCAGGUCAGGACGUCUGUCCUGUGCUUCCCUGAGGAUGAUGAGGUAGAUUGGUGUGUGGGACAGGGCGCCGUGGGCCUCUCUCCGUGGGGCAGCCUUGAUCCUCAUCAGUAAACGCACAGCAUUUUAUUGUCUUGUGCUCCUUCAUGAGAUGGUCAGUCAGGUGUGGCCGGGAGAGGAAACAGAGGAUAUGCUCACCCAGAGAUGGGCGGUGCCCAUGCAGGGCCACAGGGGAAAGAGGCAGAGUGGUCAAGAGAAGACAGGACAGAGGCUUGGGCCAUGGCCCUUAUUGGGGUUUCUGCGGGAAAGGUGGGGCAGGGCGCACAGUUGAGGACUGGCCAGUUGGAAUAAUUGUGGAGGGUUUAGGAUUAUGGAGGUGGUCCCUGGUUGCCUGGUCCCUGCAUGAUGAAGGCAGAGGAAUAUUCCUUUCCAGGGUGCAGGGGCCUGACAGAGGAGGUGGGGCUCUGGAAUGCCUCAUUUGCAUAUCAAAGUCAUGCUGGGGUCCUUUGCUAUCUCUAAGAAUUGGCUUGCCCUGGAGGGGCUGUCUCUCCCCAGCCAGAAAAGUAUUUUAAGAUGUCAAAAUGUCAUAAUAUACAGAAAACAAACCAAUGUGUGUGUGUGUGUGUGUGUAUAUAUACUAUAUAUAUAUAGAAUACAUACAUUGAUCAUUGAUUUUUUUUAUCAUACAUCCGGAUGAAAUGGCCAGAAAAUACAAAGCCAUUUCUCAGAUUUCCUUUUUUUUAAGUUGAGAUAUCACUGACAUAUAACAUUGUAUUAUAAAAUUCCCUUUUUCUUUUCCUCAUUCCAAGUUUACUCAACUCCCUAGAAGUGAUUUCAGCAUUUACAGGGCCGGCCUCACAGCGGCCCGGUGACCCCAGCUGGGAUCGGUGGGCAGCCUCCAGGCUGGAUGCUGGAAUGUUGUUUUUCUUCUUUUUUUUCCCUCAGGCUUAUCUAAGGCUUUGAUCCAGCCCUGGGAAUGGAUUUAACCUUUUUUCCUCCCACUGGGAGGAGAGAACAAUGCAAAUUCUUAACAUUUUUGGUUCACUUCAGGCCCGUCUUUGGGAAAUUUGGCCCCUUUCUCCUCCCACCAGGAGUAUGGAACAACUACAAACUGAGGUUGAUGGCCUUUCACUCGCCUCAAACUCAUUUUGGGGAAUGUUUGGGCCCUUUCUCUUCCUGCCUGGAGGAAAGAGAAAAAAACCGAGAGGCAUUGCCAGCCUGUGUUUUUCCCCACUUUCGCCAGCACUGGCUGAAGUCAGCUAGGGGGUCCCUGAGCCAACACCCCAGGGAUUGGACAUAGCAUUUUAAAUUCCAUAGGUAACUUUUUUUUUUUUUGAGGAAGAUUAGCCCUGAGCUAACAUCUGUGCCCAUCUUCCUCUAUUUUAUAUGUGGCAUGCCACCACAGUAUGGCUUGAUGAGCGAUGCAUAGGUCUGCACCCAGGAUUGGGACCAGUGAACCCCACGUUGCCGAGGCGGAGCGUGUGAACUCAACCGCUGCCCCACCGGACCGGCCCCCCCAUAGGCUAGGAACUGAUUGCUGCGCUCACCUGUGACCACCCAGCUCAAGACAAUAGACUUGCCUCCUGCUAUGCCCACGGAGAGAGCAGACCCACUACCUGCUGUGUCCAUCAAGUGCUGUGUGGACAGGGCAAUCUUGUGACUAUUGUGGGAGGAACAUUUCAAUCAUAUGUGAAACGUCCUGUAUAGGGGUAUAUAACCACUCUGUAUACCUCACUUCUUUGGUGCCCGUUCUUCCUUCGGGAAGAAAGGCCCCAGGCCAUGGUCCUCAGAUUUCAACUCAGAAUAAACUCACCCAAAUUUUCAUUUAUAGAUUGGUUAUGGAUUAUUUUUGGCGACACACACCAGGGGUAACUUCAUGGUGCCCAGGAACCAGGGCUUCAUCAUGCCCCACCCCUCUCCCUUUUCCCUACAUAAUGUUGUAACCACAUUUUACUUAGGGUCAUUCUAGUAAAUCCCACUUCUGCCACCACUACAUGUGUUUGUGUGUGUGUGUGUGUGUGUGUGUGUGGGAGAGACUCAGCAUAUAGCUGUACUUGAGACAGGAAAAAGCCUAACAAGGCAGGACCAUCUGCAAGGCCCCUGGCCUAACAAGAUAAGGCCCCUAACCAAUUGGCAAGCUAGGAGAAUCAGACAGAGGCCACCAAGAUCUACAUUCGGCAGCCUCUGGACUUUCUUGGGCUUACACAUGCACCCUAGAACUCAGGAGUCCACUGAAGGAGACCCUAGCCCCAUCAGUACGGUAGAAAUCACACCUGCGUGGAGAGCUAGCAUGCUAAUGAUACAGGCAACGCAUGUGGUGGCAUGUUGAACAACAGUGCAAGCACAAGCACAACCCCACCUCUCCAUGCCAUGACAAGGCACUCCUCCCCAGCCUCUGCCUAAUAAAAGCCCCACAAUCUCACUCCCUAAGGAGCCGGUCACCCGCCCCUUUCCUUUUGCACCGUCUCCCUUGUGCCUCUCCUGUGCACAAGCUAAUGAACUUCUACUUUUCUACUCCCGUUUGUUGUUGAUCUUGACUUCCAUCCUAG
rnacentral:lncRNA from 1 species